rnacentral:lncRNA from 1 species
GUUGAUUGGUCAAGGAUUUACAGCUUACAUGUGCAGAGCCUAAGUUCAAUACAAAAAGGAAAUAGUUAUAGAUGAGACAAUUGUUGACAUGGUUGUUUUCAUAAUAUAUUACAACAACUACACAAAAAGCGCACCAAUUUGCCACCAUUACCCAACACACACAAUUAAGAACUACAAUACAAAGUAUAGCUAAGAAAGUAAAGACAACAAACACCACUCCAUAUCACAUUGCCACGAAGUGGUAGCCAACACCACCUAAUCGAUAGCCUGAGCUUCAAAUGUCUGGCGACAGUACAUCCUUGCAAAAGAUUCUGAGGGCAAUGGUUAUAGAGCAAAACAUCAUUGACAUGUUGUUUUGCAAAAGGUUUAGUGGCCAAGGCCAACAAAACGCCCUCCCCUUAGUGAUUCACCUUUAAGGAAACAAAGCACAAGUUACUUUUUUGUGUUUAUGAUGGGCAUUGAUCAGGAAAUAAAAAAAUCUGACUUUUUUUGUCGUGACGUACUCUGACUUGAAAAGGCUCUUUCGAGCCCAGAUGAGGGUUUUGGAACGAGCACGUUUGGCACGGGCUUGAAUCUGGAAAAUGGACUCGUCAUCUGAAUUUGGAGGAGGAUCCUCAUU